CUCCUCUCUACCAGCCGAGACCGAGAGAGAGCGCCCGACCCUACCACAGCUGCUGCCUGCUGCUGCUCUGUUCUGCUCUCCCCCUUUUCCACCGUUUCUCUCUCUUCUCACCUCACCUGUUUGGCCGCUUUUCUCCACUCCCCUCUUCCAAUCAGACCAAUCUCCCCGUCUCCCUAAACACGAAUACCAUCCCUCUGCUCCGGUGUUCCGGCUCUCCCACGCACCCCACCCCACCCCACUAGUUUUUGCUUCCUGUUCACUUGUGCCUGCUCUCGCUCGCUGUUGGCCUGUUGCUGUUGCUAUUCCCGUCCCGUGCUUCCCUUCCUCUCACUGGUCGUCUAGUAUCCUCUCUCCCACCUGCCGCUGCCGCCGCCGCCGCCGCCGCCGCCCUGCUCCCACCUGCCGUCCUCUGGUCAAAGCCAGCGGCUCCCGAGAUUUGCCGCUGCUUCCUUGCUUGAGGAAUCAAGCCUGAGCGGUGAGAGAUCAAGAGGGAGGGACGGAGCGAGAGACGCAAGAGGAAAGGGAGCCAGCCCCUCGCGCCCGGCAUUCAAUUGGAGCCAACAGUAGGCGGGUGGGGCGGCUGCUACAGCACGUCGGACUCCAUAAAUUAGCUCCCCGCUUUCCGGCCCCCUUUUCGCCCCGUGUCUCCCCCGAUCGGCCCGUCGACGACGCGGACGCCCGCCGGAGCAUGCGCGCCGCGGGCCUCGGCCGCCGCAGCGCCGCCGCCGGCGUCCGGAAGAUGUAGCUCCGCGACCCGCGAGGAGAGGGCGAGGGGGAUGACCGUUACGGCGCGCGGGAGGAGCGGCGGGGCCGGGAUGGAGGAGAAGGGCGACGCGCCCGGGCUCGGCUUCCUGGGCCUCGACCGGAUGCGCGUCCUCCUGCCGCCGCUCCGCCUGCCGGAGAAGCUGUCGGCCAGGGCGCUGCGGACGCACCUCUUCACCAACUACCGGAUGCGCAAGGUGCGGGACAGCUCCAGCUGGCUCAUCCCGCUCUGGGUCCUCUUCUGGGUGCUCCUCGCCUCCGUCAUCUGCCUCUGGAUGAGCAACCAGGCCGUCGCCAAGCGCCGGGAGUCGCUCGCCAGCAUGUGCGACGAGCGCGCGCGCAUGCUCCAGGACCAGUUCAACGUCAGCGUGAACCACCUCCAGGCGCUCGCUAUCCUCGUCUCCACCUUCCACCACUCCAAGACACCCUCCGCCAUCGACCAGACCACGUUCGCAAGGUACGCGGAGAGGACGGCGUUCGAGCGGCCGCUCACGAGCGGGGUCGCGUACGGGGUGCGGGUCACGCACGCCGAGCGGGAGCAGUUCGAGCGCCAGCAGGGAUGGAGCAUCAAGAAGAUGUACUCCUCCAAGACCAAGAAGCAGUCGCAGGGACCAGGGAACGCUGAGGACGCCGAGGUGCGGGAGCCGGCGGAGGAGUAUGCUCCCGUAAUCUUCGCGCAGGACGCAUACAAGCAUGUCAUCUCCUUCGACUUGCUAUCCGGCGCCGAUGACCGCGACAACGUACUCCGAGCUAGAGAAUCUGGGAAGGGUGUUCUUACUGCUCCUUUUAAGCUGCUCAAUAAUCGCCUUGGAGUGAUCUCCACCUACGCUGUGUACAAGUAUGAGCUUCCCCCAAAUGCCAGGCCACAGGAGCGCAUUCAGGCUGCUAUAGGCUACUUAGGUGGCAUAUUUGACAUUGAAGCGCUUGUUGACAAGUUGCUUCACCAGCUCGCGGGCAAGCAAUCCAUCAUGGUGAACGUUUACGAUACUACUAAUGAUAGACGGAUCAGUAUGUAUGGUUCGAAUGAUACAGGCAGUGGCAUGUGCCAAGUCAGCACACUGAACUUUGGUGACCCGUCAAGGAAGCAUGAAAUGCACUGCAGGUUCAUUCAGAGUCCACCUUGGCCUUGGAUGGCAAUAACGACAUCAAUUGGAACUCUUGUGAUUGCUUUACUGAUUGGAUACAUAAUUUAUGCUACUGCAAAACGGAUUGCCAGAGUUGAAGAUGACUUUCAGGAGAUGAGUGUGCUCAAAAAGCGUGCAGAGGAUGCAGAUAUUGCCAAGUCACAGUUCUUGGCUACUGUUUCUCAUGAGAUCAGAACUCCAAUGAAUGGUGUUCUAGGGAUGCUCCAAAUGCUCAUGGAUACUGAUUUGGACACAACACAACAAGACUAUGUUAGAACCGCACAAGCCAGUGGCAAAGCUUUGGUAUCUCUCAUCAAUGAAGUACUUGAUCAGGCCAAGAUCGAGUCUGGUAAACUUGAGCUUGAAGCGGUGCCCUUUGACCUUAGAACAGUUUGUGAUGACAUUUUGUCUCUCUUCUGUGGGAAAGCUCAGGAGAAAGGACUGGAGCUGGCAGUGUUUGUUUCUGACCAAGUUCCACAAGCACUAAUUGGCGAUCCUGGCAGAAUAAGGCAAAUCAUUACAAAUCUUGUCGGGAACUCUAUAAAAUUCACAGAGAAGGGUCAUAUCUACUUGACAGUUCAUGUUGUUGAAGAGAUUAUGAAUUGUCUUGAGGUUGAGACGGGAACUCAGUCCGCCAAUACCUUAAGUGGCUACCCAGUGGCGAACAGAAAGCGCAGUUGGGAAAACUUUCGAGUCUUUAGCAGGGAACUGAACUCAUCUGAGAUGCCUUUUGCACCCAUCGCAUCAGACUCAAUAAGCUUGAUAAUAUCAGUUGAAGAUACGGGUGUUGGAAUCCCGUUCGAUGCUCAGUCCCGUGUCUUCACCCCUUUCAUGCAAGUAGGUCCAUCCAUUGCUCGCAUCCAUGGGGGCACUGGCAUUGGAUUAAGCAUCAGCAAAUGCUUGGUUGGACUCAUGAGGGGAGAGAUUGGAUUUGCAAGUAAACCCCAAGUUGGUUCUACUUUCACCUUCACUGCGGUUCUUACGAGGGCCCAUUCCAGCAGAAAUGAGAAUAAAUCGUCAGAAUUUAAAGGGAUCAAUGCAUUGGUGGUAGAUCAUAGGCCGGUCCGUGCCAAGGUUACUAGGUACCAUUUACAGAGACUGGGAGUUCAGACCGAAUUGACAACUGACCUAGAUCAAUAUAUUUCUAAAAUUAAUUGCGGAUCACAAAUUGCAAAGCUUGUGCUCAUUGACAAAGAAACCUGGCUGAAGGAAUCCCACUCUAUGCCUCUUUUGGUUACUAAAUUGAGGAACAAAGAUCAGCCAGACUCUACAAAGUUAUUUCUUUUGGAGAACCCUAAAAGUACUGCCAAAAGCAAUUCACAUAUAUUCAGGGAAUUUAACUUGAAUGUAAUUAUGAAGCCACUUCGAGCAAGCAUGCUUCAGGUUUCGCUACACAGAGCAUUGGGUGGGAUAGAUAAACUGCACUGCAGGAAUGGAGUACUUGGCAAUUCAACACUGGGCAGCCUUCUUCACAAGAAACGAAUCUUAGUGGUUGACGACAAUAUUGUAAAUCUCAAGGUUGCUGCAGGCGCUCUGAAGAAAUAUGGCGCAGAAGUAACUUGUGCUGAUAGCGGGAAGAAAGCAAUCACGCAACUGAAACCUCCUCACAGUUUUGAUGCUUGUUUCAUGGACAUACAGAUGCCUGAAAUGGAUGGAUUUGAAGCCACAAAAAGGAUUAGAGUGAUGGAAAGAGAUCUAAAUGAGCAAAUAGAACGUGGAGAAGCCCCACCGGAAUGCGCAGGGCUCCGGCAGUGGCGAACUCCAAUAUUAGCCAUGACAGCAGAUGUUAUCCAGGCGACGCACGAACAGUGCUUAAAAUCUGAAAUGGACGGUUAUGUAUCCAAGCCAUUCGAGGGCGAGCAAUUGUACAGAGAAGUAGCUCGCUUUUUCCAAAAUCAAGACCAAGUUCAGUAGGUAGGCUUAUAUGGAGGAGUGUAAAGUAGUGGAGGAUAUCGCCAACGGUUCACCCGUCGAGGCCGAAAGAAUUUUGUCAAAGAUCUCAUCUUCUUGAAAGUGGGCAUCAAUUCGCAAAGUUAGAGGGCCCCUAUUAAAACACUAGAAAUGCUGGGAUGUGGCCGCCAGUUAGGUGGAAACGAUUUAGGCUGGAGAUGGAACCACCCAUGUUCGGAUGCUUGGUACAUCUGACCAAUCUGCAAAGCUAAAUGCGCAAUGUCUUGAAAUCAACAUGCACGUGCAGCUAUUCAUUCGACGAUUUGCUGAGGUCAAGGCGUGUGAAAAAAAAUCAGCUGCAUUCACUAACUGCAGGUGCCCUCUGCCACUAUAUAAUAUAUAAGACUAGGGGGAGAAGUUUUCCUUCCCCCGGAAGGCACGGCUGUACAUAUUAUAUUAGGGAUUGGUUGGUUGUUUGUGCAGGCAUUUUUGUAUGCAUCAUAUUCGGCCUGUAUGGGUCGAAGCUGUAAAGUGUAAAUGACACAUUCAAAGAUGGAAGUUUUGUUUGAC